ACCAAGGGAGAAAUUAUGGCAAGUUAGGAACUGGAGAGUUGGGGUUAUAGACUACUUUUGAUAUGAUAGCCAGGGAAGCCAGGGAAGAGAUGAUUAUUGAGAUUGAAUUGAUGGGUGGGAAACACUGAGAUAUAUGCAGUGGGAAGGAAGAACAAAUACACAGCUCCAGGAUUUGAAAGGGCUUGGGAUAUGCAAAGGACAAUAAAAGAGCAGUAUGUCCGGAGAGUGGUGAUCAAAGAGGACCAUGGUAUCAAAGAAGGUUCAAGAGAUGAGCAGAAGCCAGGUAAUACUGACCUCAGAAAUCCAUGCUAAUAGUCUUCUAUUUUAUUUUAAGAACAAUGAGAAGUCACUGAAAAAUCUCAAGGAAAAAAUAGAACCUUAUUUGAAGAAUCCAGAAUACUUUGAAAUGAAAAGAGCAGGACACAGGAUGAAAAGCAAGAGAUGGCUAAUGUCUGCAAAAUACAAGAGCCCUGAAUAACCAUCCUCGCAGGUGAAUAAACAAAGGAGAGAUUGGACUUUUUGAAGGAAGCACACUUUGCUUCAAGUAAUGCAAGAGAGCAUCAUAAGAAUAUGCUCCAGGUGAAGGCAGAGGAACACGAAAGCAAGUGGAAAGGCAAUGUUAUAUGACACAUAAGAUGGAUACAGAAAAAGAAAUAAAGGACAUGCAUUUCAAGUUUGUAUGCGGGUUACAUUUGAGCCUUGAAGAUGACAGAUCCUAUUCUUACAGGUAACAGCAUUCCAAUUUGACUCAUUAUAUACAAAUACGCAUAUAUACACUCUGCAGAUUCAAAAUUAUAUGUCUUCAAAAAUAAACCUCUUUUAU